AGGAUUAACGCUGGCGGCGUGCCUAACACAUGCAAGUCGAACGAGGGGGCAACCCCUAGUGGCAGACGGGUGAGUAACACGUGGUCAACCUACCGCUUUGUGGGGGAUAACCAGCCGAAAGGUUGGCUAAUACCGCAUACGUCGCGAUCGGCAUCGAUCGUUGAUGAAAGGAGCAAUCCGCAAGGCGACGGGACCGCGUCCCAUUAGCUAGUUGGUGGGGUAAUGGCCUACCAAGGCUCCGAUGGGUAGCUGGUUUGAGAGAGCGACCAGCCACACUGGGACUGAGAAACGGCCCAGACUCCUACGGGAGGCAGCAGUGAGGAAUUUUCCGCAAUGGGCGAAAGCCUGACGGAGCGACGCCGCGUGUGGGAAGAAGGCCUUCGGGUCGUAAACCACUGUCGAAGGGGAAGAUAUUGACGGUACCCUUGGAGGAAGCCCCGGCUAACUACGCGCCAGCAGCCGC
rnacentral:rRNA from 1 species